AACGAACGCUGGCGGCAGGCUUAACACAUGCAAGUCGAGCGCCCCGCAAGGGGAGCGGCAGACGGGUGAGUAACGCGUGGGAAUCUACCCAUCUCUACGGAAUAACGCAUGGAAACGUGUGCUAAUACCGUAUACGUCCUUCGGGAGAAAGAUUUAUCGGAGAUGGAUGAGCCCGCGUUGGGUUAGCUAGUUGGUGGGGUAAAGGCCUACCAAGGCGACGAUCCAUAGCUGGUCUGAGAGGAUGAUCAGCCACACUGGGACUGAGACACGGCCCAGACUCCUACGGGAGGCAGCAGUGGGGAAUAUUGGACAAUGGGCGCAAGCUUGGUCCAGCCAUGCCGCGUGAGUGAUGAAGGCCCUAGGGUUGUAAAGCUCUUUCACCGGUGAAGAUAAUGACGGUAACCGGAGAAGAAGCCCCGGCUAACUUCGUGCCAGCCGCCGCAGUAAGAC
rnacentral:rRNA from 1 species